rnacentral:rRNA from 1 species
UUCGGUCCGCUGACGAGUGGCGAACGGGUGUGUAACGCGUGGAUACCUGCCCCGAGGUGGGGGAUAACAUCUGGAAACAGAUGCUAAUACCGCACGCUCUCCAAGGAGGAAAGGCUUCGGCCGCCUUGGGAGGGGUCCGCGUCGGAUUAGCUUGUUGGUGAGGUAACGGCUCACCAAGGCGACGAUCCGUAGCUGGUCUGAGAGGAUGAUCAGCCACACUGGGACUGAGACACGGCCCAGACUCCUACGGGAGGCAGCAGUGGGGAAUAUUGCGCAAUGGGGGAAACCCUGACGCAGCAAUACCGCGUGAGCGAUGAAGGCCUUCGGGUUGUAAAGCUCUUUUAGUAGGGACGAUAGUGACGGUACCUACAGAAAAAACUCCGGCUAACUCCGUGCCAGCAGCCGCGGUAAUACGGAGGGAGUAAGCGUUGUUCGGAAUUACUGGGCGUAAAGGGCGCGUAGGCGGUCUUGCAAG